AUAAAGAGUAUAUUAUUUUGAUCCUUGCCCUAAAAACUAAUUGAAAACAUAAAAAUAAGUAUUAAAUUUAAUGGUGGGUCCCAACUCUUCUUCCUCCCUCUUUCUCCGCCAUUGCUUCUCCUUCAUCUUUUUUCUUUUGCUAUUUCUUCUACGAUUUCUGCUCCCAAAAUCUUCUCAUACACACAAAAGUUUCUUCAAAUUUCAAAGAAUAUUCGUAAGGUUUUUGUUUUUUAUCUAUGCCCGUUAAAAUGUUACCAUUUAAUUUUAAAAAUAGAAUGAAAAAAAUGACUUGAAAAAAUUACUAAUUUUGAAAAGGAAAAAACGAAAAGAAAAGCUAUAAUCCUCCCCAUAGAUCGCUUCAACAAGAGAGAAAAAAUGGAGUCUUUUAUUUAAUUUACUUAGUUUACAUUUGUUUUAAUGAUCUUGAUUUUCUUCUUCUUCUUUAUGUAGGAUAAUGGAAGCUUCUGAAAAUUUUGCUUCAAUGGAGUUAAAAAUGGAUGAGGUGUGUAGUAUUUUUCUUAUGAAGAUAUAAAGCAGGAGAGAAAAUGGCGAAAGAAAGAAGUUGAGGAGACGGGUCUGCGGUGGUAAUGGUGAAAGAAAGCAGAUUGAGGAAGAAGGGUUUGCCAUCUAUCAAUUCUGUGGGACCCACGAUUAAAUCUAACCAUUUUUAUUUAUUUUUUUGGUUAGUUUUAGGAUUAAGGACUAAAAUAAUUGUCUUUUUAUAUAUAUUAAGGACUAUUUAGAUAAAGUGAUAUAUAUAAAGGAUCAAAAUAAUUCAAUGAAGGGCCAUUUUGAUCAUUUUCUCAAGGAAGAUAUGUGAUUUAAGUUUGUGUUUCCACAUAAAAUCCACAUGUAUUACUGCAAACUUUUUUGCUUUUCUUAGAAAAAAAAUAGACAUUUAUUAGUUAUAUUUGGAGUUCGUAGUUACAGUCAAGG
rnacentral:lncRNA from 1 species